UACAGAGGUCUCAAGCGUUGUUCGGAAUCACUGGGCGUAAAGGGUGCGUAGGCCGCACGGUAAGUCAGAUGUGAAAGCCCGGAGCUCAACUCCGGAACUGCAUCCGAUACUGCCGUGCUUGAGGACUGGAGAGGAGUCUGGAAUUCACAGUGGAGCAGUGAAAUGCGUAGAUAUUGUGAGGAACACUAGUGGCGAAGGCGAGACUCUGGACAGUUCCUGACGCUGAGGCAUGAAGGCCAGGGGAGCAAACGGG
rnacentral:rRNA from 1 species